GGAAUGGGUACGUGGCUGAGUGCCUCCCGGGUCUGACACUGUGUGACGCCACCCGGUGCCUGCAGCUGCCCUCUGGAAGGUGCUGCUUUUGCGGCAGAGCCGGAGGGCACCAAGCGUGUGUCUGUCUCCAAAGUCCUGGGCACCACAUCACAAUGCCUUCCUGAGAAGCAGAAUCAAGGACAGUUGCUGAUCUUCAUUCCUUCCCACCAAAGGUAUCUCAUACACCAUCUUUGGAAGUUGGAGCCAGGGGGCGCCUGGGUGGCUCAGUCGGUUAAGUGUCUGCCUUCAGCUCAGGUCAUGAUCCCAGGGUCCUGGGAUCGAGUCCCACACAUUUGCCUCCCUGCUCAGCGGGGAGCCUGCUUCUCCUUCUCCCUCUGCCAUUCCCCCCACUUGUGCUUUCUGGCUCUCUGUGUGUCAAAUAAGUGAAUAAAAUUUUUUUUAAAAGUUUGGGCCAUACUCUUUAGCCAUUCUACUUUCCCUGGGGUAAUUUGCCACCUCCCUGAAUUUACCUGAAUCUUUCCCAAAAUCUACUUAUCUUCCAGCCUUCUUGACCAUAAUAAGUCUAUAAAUUUUCAAUAGACAGUGUGAACUUACACUUGCUAAUAUUUGCAUAACAUGCACCUCUUUCGAUCUCAAAGAAAAGCUUCGCACCGCAAUGGUCUCUAAUCUCCAAUUAGGUUCUGUUCCGGGAUCCCACUGGAAUUCUAUGCACCUGUCCCCAAAGAUCCCAUAAAUUGUGGUCCAGUUUCCCAGCCAGCCAAGGAAAGCACAUGGGAAAUCUUGCUGAAGUAUGAGUAAGAGCCAACGAAAGGGAACAUAUUUAUCUGCCUCGAAUGCUGGGACCUGAGGAAAGCAAGUUUCAUUACAGACAAAUCAGGAAGGAGGUGCAGAUUGCUUUUUAUGUCACUCUGGGGUGGAGGUCUGCCAUUGAUCAUUAAGGCCAUUUCCUGCAAUGCACUCACCAAAGUGAUACUCACUUCGGAGUGGACAAAACUUAGGAAAUGGCCAAGGGGAGCUCUGCUUACACUUUACACUCUCAGCAUUUAUUUGUAUUAUUUUCUUUAUGGGGCAGUAUAGAGACUUGAGACCACAUUUAAAAAGCAAAGCUUGUCAUCCUGUGGCCUUGGGUCAAGAAUAGAGAUAGUGCUGCUCAUGUCAGUUUCAACCUCCAGUGGCCAAGGGUUUGAUCUGAUGCUCUUUCAAGUUUUCACCACAGCCUUUAUCAAGCUCAAUGGCCAAUAAUCCCACAGGAGGAGAUUUUAGGGCCCUCUCAAACUUCUGUUGUGCUAUCUCUCCCCAGCCUGCUUCCUCUGCAAAAGUCACCACUUUGCCUGUGCAUCUACCACCUCUUAGAGCCUUUGGAAUCAGCCACAAAUUGCAGUGCUGAUUCCUUCCAUGACCACAUAUUGUUUACAGGAAAACUCUUCUUCGUUAUGCCUUGCCAGUCAGAGUGACGGUUUCAUCCGCAACCUGGACCAGGUUCGGGAAUGUUCUACACAUAAAUGAAGAAGAGAUUAGGACACAGACAGUACAGACUGAAGGACAAUCGUUUGAAGACAGAGUGGAGAACACAGCUAUCUGCAAGCCAAGGAGAGACGUUUGAAGAAUGGAACCCUACUGCCACCUUGAUCUUGGACUUCCAGCGCCCAGAACCAUGAGAAAAUAAAUUGUAUGUUGCCUAGGCCA